UUUAACUGAAGAGUUUGAUCAUGGCUCAGAUUGAACGCUGGCGGCAGGCUUAACACAUGCAAGUCGAGCGGGGGAAGGUAGCUUGCUACUGGACCUAGCGGCGGACGGGUGAGUAAUGCUUAGGAAUCUGCCUAUUAGUGGGGGACAACAUCUCGAAAGGGAUGCUAAUACCGCAUACGUCCUACGGGAGAAAGCAGGGGAUCUU
rnacentral:rRNA from 1 species